UGACUAUACGUUCAACGGCCGCGGUACCCUAACCGCGCGAAGGUAGCGCAAUCACUUGUCCUUUAAAUGUGGACUAGUAUGAACGGCAUAACGAGGGUUAUACUGUCUCCCUCUUCCAAUCAGUGAAACUGAUCUCCCCGUGAAGAAGCGGGGAUAACAUUAUAAGACGAGAAGACCCCAUGGAGCUUUAAACCCAAAGUCAACUGCUGCCGCAUAUAUCCCCAAAGCUAUAGCAGAUUUCUGUCACUUUGGUUUUCGGUUGGGGUGACCGCGGAGCAAAAUAAAACCUCCACGAUGAACGGAACUAACUCCUAAUCCAAGAGCUACAACUCAAAGAAUCAAAACUUUGACAUAAAUUGAUCCAAAUAAUUUGAUCAACGAACCAAGUUACCCUGGGGAUAACAGCGCAAUCCAUUUUUAGAGCUCCUAUCGACAAAUGGGUUUAC
rnacentral:rRNA from 1 species